AAGAGCUGCGCGCGCAUUCAGCCGGUCGCAUAGGAAAGCAUUAUCAACGCUUUCCUAUGGACGCUUGUGUGCUCUCACUGUGAUUUUCACAGUGAGAAUCACGCAAGCGCCUCUAGCGGCUGUCAAUGAGACAGCCACUAGAGGAUUUGGGGGAAGGCUUAACCCAUUCAUAAACAUAGCAGUUUCUCUGAAACUGCUAUGUUUAUAAAAGAAUGGGUUAACCCUAGAAGGACCUGGCACCCAGACUACUUCAUGCUGAAGUGGUCUGGGUGCCUAGAGUGGUCCUUUAAGGACGAAUGGUCCAAUACGGAUAAAAAGCUUUCAGCACAAGGCAGAAUCUCUCGCCUCUAUCCUUUUGACAAAUCUGAUUCAUACCAUUGGGAUAACGCCCCUAAAGUGGAUGCUGCAGUAGUUAGACUUGCAAAGCAUACCACAUUACCAGUUGAUGAUGCAGGCUCAUUUAGACACCCAAUGGACAAGAAGAUGGACUUACAUCUUUCAAAAGCUUAUGUAGCAGCAGGUACUGGUUUUCACCCUGCAAUAGCCCUUACAUCGGUUUCCAGGGCCUUGAAAAUCUGGAUCGAGAAUUUGGAAGAAGAUAUCAGAGAUGGGAGAAACAGAUCUUCUCUUCUGGAAAGGUUAAAUGAUAUUAAACUGGCCGUUGACUUUACCUCAGAAUCCUCAGUGAAUAUGGUGAAAGCUCUAGCAAGAAACAUGGCUCUCUCAGUAUCAGCUAGAAGAGCUUUGUGGCUGAGAUCUUGGUCCGCAGACUCAUCGUCAAAGUCUAGUCUAUGUGCCCUUCCUUUUCAUGGUGAGAUGCUGUUUGGUAAAAAUCUUGACAAGUGUAUCAAAAGAGCUGCAGAAGGGAAAAGAGCUUUUCUCCCACAAGACCGGAAAACCCGUGGAUCCUUUCGAGCCAGAAGAUAUUCUGAAUACCCCUCCUUUCGAGAUAACAGAUCAUAUAAACCUGGAAGAGAAUAUGGAAGAUCUAUUCCAUGGAGAGGAGGGCAUUCUUCCAACAAAGGAGGUAAAUCCAGGGGUUCUUCAUUCCACAAGAAGCCUUUAUGACAAACUCUCUUCCCAAUCUGGAGGUGUAGGUGCCCGUCUCCUACUAUUCCAAAAUAUAUGGAAACAUUCAACUCAAGACAGAUGGGUUCUGGAUAUAAUACAAAGAGGUUAUCUCAUAGAGUUCUCCAGAAUACCGCCACCUCGCUCCUUCCAAAAGACAAACUGGCCAAGAGAUAUAGAAAAAAGAAACACCCUAAAAAAGUUUAUCUCAUCCAUUCAAGAAGAUGGAGUUAUCGUUCAAGUUCCACGGGCUCAACAGACACAUGGGUUUUACUCCCAUAUUUUUCUCACCAGAAAAUCCACAGGGGAAUGGAGGCCAAUAUUAGACCUAAGCAAGUUAAACAAGUUCCUAAACAUAAGAAAAUUCAAGAUGGAGUCCCUUCAAUCCAUUGUGAAAGCAGUUUUUCCAGAACAGUGGCUCAUGUCAAUAGACCUGGCAGAUGCGUAUUUCCAUAUUACCAUACCACCCCAGCAUCAAAAAUUCCUCAGUUCCGCUGUGGAAGAGGGUCACUUUCAGUUCCGUGCUCUCCCUUUUGGCCUAAGCACUGCUCCACAUACUUUCUCAAAAGUUUUGGUGGCUCUAAUUGCAGAACUCAGGAAGAAAGGCAUCGCAAUAUAUCAUUACCUAGACGACAUCUUGAUCCUGGCAGAAAGCAGAGAUAACCUAGAAAAUCACGGCUUAAUAUGUAUGCAGUUUCUUCAGCAACACGGUUGGAAGAUCAAUAUCUCCAAAAGCAACCUGAACCCAUCUCAGAGCAUGAUAUACCUAGGAGCAUCAUUCAACACUGCAAAAGGUUUAGUUCAACUGUCCCCAGAAAGGGGUAUGAAAAUUCAGAGAAAAGUCAAAGACAUGUUGGCAUUCAGUGUUUCCUCGGCAGAGAAAGCUAUGAGCCUCCUGGGAUCAAUGUCCUCCACCAUAGGACUAACAAGAUGGGCCCAAUGGAGGAUGAGACCUUUUCAAAGAAAUUUCCUUUGUCAAUUCAAAGGGGGGAAUCUGUCUCAGCCUAUAAGUAUCCCUCCUCACGUACAAAAAUCCUUGAAGUGGUGGACUCAGAAGGAGUUUCUCUUCAGAGGUUUUCCCUUAGGAAAUGUCCCAUGGACCAUUAUCACUACAGAUGCCAGUCAAUGGGGUUGGGGAGCCCAUCUUCAUGUCCAAGGGAAGUGGUCAUUUUUGACUUCCAACACUCCUUCGAAUCUCCUAGAGCUUCUGGCAGUUUUCAAGGCUCUGAAGCACUUCCAACAACUUCUACUCCACAAGUGGGUCAAAAUCAGGACAGACAAUGCCACGGUGGUCGCAUAUAUAAAUCAUCAAGGAGGGACAAGGAGUUGCAGAAUGAUGAAAAUAAUGAAACCUCUGAUGUCCUGGGCACAAAUAAAUUUGGAGAGCAUCUCUGCAAUACAUCUCCCAGGAACACAGAAUUCAGUAGCAGACUUUCUCAGCAGGGUAACAUUAGACCCAGGGGAAUGGAGUCUAUCAAACGAAAUAUUCCUACAAAUUGCACAAAUAUGGGGUCUUCCACAAAUAGAUCUGAUGGCAACAAGCAACAACAGGAAUGUAAAGAAUUUCUUCUCAAGAAUUCCAGAUCCCCAAGCCAUAGGAAGGGACGCAUUGACAUGCAUUUGGGACUUUGACCUGGCGUAUGCCUUUCCUCCGAAUCCUCUCAUCUUCCCUCUGCUGAGGAGACUGCGACAAGAGAAGGCAUCACUGAUUCUGAUAGCCCCUUUUUGGCCACGCAGACCUUGGUUUCCGCUACUACUAAGUCUAUGUGAGAUAGACCCAUGGCGUCUUCCAGUUGUUCCAUUUCUGCUACAACAGGGUCCAAUUCUUCACCCAAACCCAGCAUCCCUUCAUCUGAUGGCAUGGUACUUGAAAGGGAGGGGUUAAAGAACAAGGGGUUUUCAAGAUCAGUAAUUGAGACACUUCUUCAAGCAAGGAAGAAGACCACUUCAUCCACUUAUUACAGAAUCUGGGAUGUAUUCUCUUCAUGGGCCAGUUCAAGAUCUUUGGAUAUUCGGAAUCCUUCAACAACUGAUAUUCUUGAAUUUCUACAAUCUGGCCUGGAGAAAGGAUUGAGUUAUAAUACUUUGAAAGUCCAUAUUUCAGCCCUCUCGGCUUUAACCAAUCAUAAAUGGGCAUUGGACUCGGACAUAGCAAGAUUUCUGACUGCAGUCUUAAAAAUCAAGCCCCCCAUUAAGUCUAUUGCUCCUCCAUGGGAUCUCCCUCUGGUCAUUAAGGCUCUUAAAUCAGAUCCUUUUGAACCAUUGGAAUCAAUUUCCUGUCAUCUUCUCACGAUCAAGACAGUUCUAUUGGUAGCCCUAGCAUCUGGUAGAAGGGUGUCUGAUCUUCAGGCUCUUUCGGCUCAAGAACCUUUUACUAUAUUUCAUAAGGACAGAGUCAUCCUAAGAACGGUUCCAGAAUUCCGUCCCUAAGGUGACUUCGGAGUUCCAUAUAAAUUAAGAAAUAGUUCUUCCAGCAUUAAGUUCAGAAGAAACAAAUAACGGAGAAGACGCUGAUUGGAAAGCUAGUGAGAUGUCUCAAGACAUAUAUACAAAGAUCCUCAGAAUGGCGAAGUUCUGAAAGGCUUUUUGUUAUUCCCAACUGCCCUAGGAAGGGUCUCCAAGCUUCAAAAGCCACUCUCAGUAGAUGGAUAGUUUCGGCUAUUAUCCAAUCUUAUCGAGCAUCUAAAACAAGUAUUCCUGAAGGUUUGAAAGCACACUCUACACGUUCUCUCUCUUCAUCCUGGGCAGCUGCAGCAAAGGUUUCUGCAGAACUCAUUUGCAAAGCAGCUACUUGGUCAUCUUCUAAUACAUUUAUCAGACAUUAUUGUUUAGACGUAAGAGCUGGUCAAUACGAUGAGUUUGGCAGAUCGGUUCUUUCUGCUUCAAACGAUUGAUUUAUUCUCUUAUAUUGUUCGUCACAUGUGGUUGAUUGUGAUAAUACACUUGCAUUAUAUAAUAAUGUGUCUGAGUUUUUGUUUUUUCCUCCCUUGGUUUUAGCUUGGGUAUUACCCAUUGUUGUGCUGCCAUGGAUAUGGCCAGGAAAGAUAAAAAUUUACUCAUACUUACCGUAAUUUUCUUUUCCUGGUCAUAGGCCAUGGCAGCACAAAGAUCCCACCCAGGGAUAUUGCUGUUAAC